AACCUUAUGGACCUGCGGGCGUAUACCUGCGGAGGGAUCAUUACAGAGUUGCAAGACUCCCUAAACCAUUGUGAACCUACCUUCUACCGUUGCUUCGGCGGGCGGGCCCAGCGCCCCCCCGGCCCCCCGCGGGCGCCCGCCGGAGGAUACCCAAACUCUUGACAUUAGUGGCCUCUCUGAGUAUUCUUUACUGAAUAAGUCAAAACUUUCAACAACGGAUCUCAGAUCGGAAGAGCACAC
rnacentral:misc_RNA from 1 species